AUGUCAAAACGCAAGUACAAAUUGAACCUAACAGCACAAUUAAAUUACCCCGUGCAAGACUAAAAAGAGGACAUAAUGCAUUGCUCUUCACAGAUGACUGCAGAUUUGAUCUUGAUCAAGGAGGAUCACACACUGCAGAUGUUGAGACCAUGUCUACAUCUGGCCACUUGAAGCCUACACAGCAAUAUGAUCCAGAUCACACGGCUGAUCAGGUGAGCACUACAACCAAACCGUGGGUGCGAGGUUGUCGGAUGCUGCCAAAAUGUUUUUCUAAAUUAAACUUCUGUGUGUUUAGGCCUUGCCCUAUGCAGAAUACAGCAGAGAAGAAGAUGGUGCUUCUGGAUCAGAUUCACAAACUGCAGAUGUUGAGGUGAGAGAGUAAUAUUCUCUUUGUGGCAAGUGGUCAUUUUCCACUGUGCCUUACCACUUUUAAAACUGUGUGAUUGUGCCAUCUCUUCUUUAUCCUGUGCAGACCAUGUCUCCAUCUGGUCAUCUUGAUCUUCAAUUGGAUCCAGAUGACACAAUGGUGAGCUCUUCUACCAACCACAUCUGAGGGUUGUUUAAAAAAGAUUGUCUGUUAAGCCAGCUUAAUUUCAA